AUAUAUAGAGCUAUUGACAUUUGAAAAGGAUUGUGUAUGUAGAGUAGACAGAUAAGAGAACGCAGCAUAAAUGUACAAAGGUUACACAAAUAAGAUUAUCGGCAGCUAUGUUCAUAACAUUUUCCAUGUUGUUUGUAAGGCGACAGACUCUUUAAUGAGUCAGUGACAGUGAGUGUUUUGACGAGCUUCCCUUGUGGAGGUGCGGGCUGUUUGACAUCUUUAUGCCCUGAGGUCAGCUUAACACCUGAGAGAAGAACUGGCAGCGCUGGAAAAUUUUUUUUGCCACAUUCAAGAAUAAACUUGUUGUUUUAUUGUUGUAAAAUGCUAGAAAAUUACAAGGGCUUUUAAUAAUUGCCAAAAUUAAUCAACAACCAAUUAUAUUUGUGUUGUAUAACUUAUGCUGCCUUAAUAUACCAUAAAACGUUGACUUGGAAUAUUUGAUGUGGCAGCGCCGGCAACGGAGGAAACCACGCCUAAAUCGCCAUGAAGGAGCCGAUAGGGUAUAGCAGAAACACCCUUCACCAUCAAAGGAAAAUCCUUUAGAGAACAAGAGGAUUCUUUAAUUCUCACGGCAAAUGAAAAAUGAAAGCAAAGAAAAGCAUCAAGUAAAAAAUCAAAUUACAGUAGUAUAAACUCAAGCUUCAUAGCAAACUGCUUAUAGCUCACUAUUAAUACAAUAACUCAAGCUGGCUUGUGGGGACCAAAGGAUCUUGGACGGCAUUCAGAGCUACUGUAAGUUGUGGGGUUUUCUAGCCAGCUUGAGUUAUUGUAUAAAUAGUGAGCUAUUAGCAGUUUGCUACAAAGCUAGAGUUUAUUCUACUGUAUUUAUGAUCUACUAUUCUUUGAUGCUUUUUUUUGCUUUCAUUUUUCAUUUGCCAUGAGAAUAAAAGAAUAAUUGUUCUCUAAAGGAGUUUCCUUUGAUGGUGAAGGGUGUUUCUUUUAGUGUGGUGGACUUCUUCACCAGUUGGUGACCCCUAUCGAUGUUAAAGAGGAUACUCAGCAAGGAACUUAACAUAAAUACUUUCUUGGUUUUCUGAAGUCCUUGGCUAAGGAAUCAUUAAAUUUCCAAUGUAGUUGGAUUUUUAGCACUUUGAUACCAAGUUAGAGCUGUUAAGUAGCAGCUUGUUUAUUGGUAUAAAGUAACUGCGCAGCUUUUGAUCAAUAAUUAAAUAUACUUUAUUCUGGAGAAAUAAAUAUUUCUUCCAUUACUCCAGUUUUCACUUAUCACUUUGCUUUAUCCUAAGUAUUAUAAGCAUUGUUGUUGCUGUUUGUUACACAUAGCAGUCCUUGUUUAAUUUAGUAACUUAGUUUUGUUACAGUUCUACAGCCUUUUCACAGACCAUCAUAUAUAAUGCACUUGUGUGUAUAUUUUGUUUGACCUCUGUGUAGUAUACAGCACUAAAUGUUUGUUUUAAUGUUAUUUUUUAAUCCUUAUCCUGAUUAUUUUUCUUUUUCCUUACACUUGUUCGUGCAAGGAACAAACCUUCGGUCUUAACAAUAAGAUCAUCUUCUAGCGCCAGCUGGAAACUGGUUUAAAAGAAUCAAAGAUUGUAAAGCAAGGAAUCUGUGGCAUCUGGCAACCAUGUGUAUAUGAGGUGGAAGCUGGUCACCAACCGAGCUUGGGACCUUGUGACGCAUCAGUCUUUCUUUGACUGCCUUGGAGAGUAGCCUUUUAUCAUGGAUUCCUCCAAGAGUUCCAAGGCAUGUCAGGAGUUGUUUCCAGAGGGUGAUCCACUUCAGUUACGAGGAAUAUGGUUGCUGUCACAGGUUUUGUCCAUUGUAAUGACACAACAAAUUUUAAUGGCACAGAACUACAACCCCUAACUUUCCUGACUUUACUCCAGGGUUCCCUUAAGAAUGCUUGGCUUCAUGCACUCUUUUGCUUAGAUGGCAUGAGUUUAGAGCACCGUUCUAGCUCAUGAUACUGUACUUCUACAGUGCCUCACCAUCAAGUAAGUAACAGUAUCAAUUUUGGUUUUUUAUUGUAAAUUUAUUUUUCAUGAUAAAAUGUUGAAUUUUGUCUACAAAAUUUUAUUGCUAUGUAUAUAAAUAUGUUUUUGUGCCAACAUGACAAAAUUUUUUAAUCAAAUUGUAUUUUUCAUAGCUAAAAAACCUGAAGUCUUAACAAUAGGAUGAUCUUGCACCAGCUAGAACCCAGUUCAAAACAAUAAAAGAUUGUAAAGUAAGGAUCUGUGGCAUCUGGCAAUUCAUACAUAUACGAGGUGGAAGCUGGUCACCAACCAGGCAUAGAACCCUGUGAUGCAUCAGUUUUUCUUUGACCGCCUUGGAGAGUAGUCACAAAAAUCUUUAUGAUUACAACGCUACCCCUCAUUUUUGCACCUCACUUUUCCACACUUCACAUUGUCAUGGAUUUUUAUGAAACAUUUUUCUCAAUUCCACAGGAACUUUCACCAAUUCACAAAUUUUUCUGUGGGCUGUAACCAAAAUUAUCAAUAGUUCGCUUUUUUUUUUUUUUUUUUUAUUAAAUUAAGCAAUAAACUAUUAAAAUAGGCAGUCAUAAGCAUUUUAGUUUGAGGGGUACAUAGUAUUUGGCAUUAACAAGCAGUUAUAAGUGUUUUUAGAGGGGUUUUGCCUUUCUGUGGUGGGUUUUGGAACUUAUCCCUGUGAAAAAGUUGGGUAGCACUGUACGUACUAUUUUUAAGUGGAUUAGAGAUAAUUCUCUUUUAACAUCACCUGCUUUUAGGGGAGUUGGACUUAGGCUUUCUGCUUUGAAUUUUCUAUUUUGACACCUUUUGAUGUCAUAUGAUAUUAGAAUCUCAGGUUACUUGAAGUUGAAAAUUUGUUCAAGUGAUAAAAAUAAUGCACGAUAAAAAGUUAUUCUUUCAAGAACUAUUAGGAUAUUCAGUCAAAUUAAAAUAUUCAUUUAUCACUCCUUAAGUCAAGAUGUCUUCUGAUAGUAUGCACUACAAUCUUUGUAGCCUGCAGGCUUUGACUAAUGGGAUGAAUAAUUCAAAAGAGGUUAGGAACAUUGAAGUAUGAACAUACAGUACAAUCAUUACUUUUUAUUAAGGUAAACCAUUUACGGUUCACAUUGUUUUAUCCAUGAAAAUGAUUAAUGUAAUGAUAAUGCAUUGAUUUUUGCAUGAAAAAUAAUAAUGUAAAAAUGGAACCAAUAUAACAUUAAAUGUUAAAAUUGCAUUAAAUAAUAAUAUAACACUGACCUUCAAAACUGACAUGUAAUACACUGAGGAAAGAUAAUACAGUACAUGUCUCAAAUAAUUUCAGCUAUACACAAACAAGACUUUCCAAGAAGUAAUUCCUUUAUGGUCUUCUUGAUAUACAAUAUACUUGCUGCAAAAUCUGAUGCAAUUUCUGUGAAUACAUGAAUUUAUUACACUAAAUAUUUUAAUGAAAGUGGAGGCUCAAAUAAAGCCAAAGAAAAAUACUCAUUUAUGCUCCGACAUGUCCUCCAGACCUUGUAGCCAAGAGUAGAACCGUUCACUAGACAGAUGCAAGAAAAUACUUUCGAUUUAAUCUCUUCAGCAGGUAUCCUACCACAACCUCCCAACUGCAUUACAAAUGACAUUUGCAACCUUAGGUAACCCAAUGUUAAGAUCAUGGUUCAUCAUUCAUAGCAUCAGUUAUUCACGGAUUUUACUGUGGAACAUGUUUCCAAAUAUUUCACUGAAAAUUGACUAAUUCGUGAAUUUUUUUGUAGAGCAAUACUAUUCACUAAUUAGUACUGUAUUUUCAUCUUAUGUUUUGUGAUUAAAUAUAUUUUUUUAUGAUAAAAGAUUUACUAAUUUUCACAUAUCAAUUCAUAAAGGAAAAUAUAGUAAAUUAGGUAAGAUUUCCACAAUUCUUGCUAUUCCCAAUCUUUUACUGUUACGAAGUUUCCCACUUAGCCGGAUGGAUGUAGGCUUGACUGUCAAUCAUCUGGAUAUACGUAUACUCUAAACCUUUGGUCAUUACAUAAGGGAUUUACUUUCCGCUAAAGCUGCAGCUGGCCGUUUAACUAAAAACAAGAUGGAUAUUGGUAGUUGGCUACUGAUGGAAGGGGAGGAAUCCCUACCAUCCAAUUGGUACACAUUCAUUUUUCCUUUGAGUAAUGCUUCAAGAUGACUGAAAUGAUAUUAAAUUGUUUUAGGAUGAUAGUUUAAGGUGUGCGUAUUUGGUGUUCGAAUUAUUAAUGUCAGCAGUUGUAAACAUUUUGGAGGUACUAUGACAAGAUAUCAUGCAUUUUUGGUAUUUGCAGGUAGUUGUGGUCCCUGACCCUGCAAAUACGAGGGAUUGACUGUAUCCUGUACACCAAAUCUUUUACAUAAAUCCCACUUCUGAACUUUCUUAUGGGUUCCACAUUUGUUUGAGGGCGUGAAAGUGCUUGCCCUAUAAGCCACUAACAUUGCAGUGGACAUUGUUGGACACAGACAGAUUCCUAGGUGGAAGCUCUCUACCAAUAACCAUGAUGGGAAAUACUUCCAUGUAAAAGAAGAGGGUUUGCAUUCUCAUAAGCAUAAACUAACCUUAUCGAAGACACUAUUUAAGCCCAACAUAAGCAUAAGCUAUACAAUUCUUGGUGCCAUCCCAGAGGAAGGAUGCAGAAAGUAACCAAUUUGAAACCCUCAAUCAGAGAUGCUGGAUAUCAGAGAAGACUAAAGCACUUUAUUCUGUUGUGAAUAGUACCACUAUCAGGCUGUUUAAGAAAAGAAGAUAUUGAAAUACUUGUGUUUUUAUUAAUUUUUUUAAAGAUCUCUUCAGAUGGAUCAGCAAGGCUUUGCUGUUGCUGCUGGCGAAAUGGUGCAGUUACACCCAGUGUUUCUUCACAUUCCUAGUGUAACACUGUCCUCAAAAAUAGUGUAAACCAGAGCAAGGUAGUGCAAGAAUGAGGUUGCAACCUCCUUGUCUUCCCUUCUUUUGCUCACAACCUUUGGUCUUCCUCUGCCAAGGCCUCAUGCUUCCCGUUUCUCCACAGGGGUUUAGAGAUACAUCAGUACUUCCUGUGGUUCCUGAUCACUUUGGGAUUGCAGCAUUUGUGUGAGCAAUUGCCUACAUGAGUCUCUUGUGCAGCAUGACAUGACUGUUAGCCAAUGCUUUGCUCUGAGCUUGGUCCAUUAAGCUUAUGUACUGGUGGCCCCCCAACCUUCUCUCUCAGAUGUAUAGGACAGCCAGGCAGAAAAUAUGUGGCAGAGAUGGCUGGAAGGUUCAUUUUUGUGGUAAGAUACUCGUCUACAAUUGUCUAGUGAAUAAUUCAACUCCAAGACAACACACAAUACUCUUAUGUUACAGCAUGAGUAAACUAUAUGGUUUGUUCUUUUUAAGAGGGAAAAUACUCAUAUAAAGAGAAAUAAUCAUAUGAAACAUAAUCACAAGAAAAUUUUUAAGAAUACCUUUGAGACUCCACAGGAGGAACUUGCUUUAUAGCUAGAGAUUUACUUGCUUCUGACUUUGCAACUGUUU